rnacentral:tRNA from 1 species
GUCCCCGUGAUCUUGCAGGUGCCUUCUAAGCACUUGGUCGCAGGUUCGAUCCCUGCCGGGCGCG